CCGCCUGCCGGCGUCCUAAACAUGCAAGUUGACGCGAAAGUUCCCCUCGGGGAGCAAGUAGAGUAGCAGACGGGUGAGUAAUACAUAGGUAAUCUACCUUUGAGUGGGGGACAACUGACCGAAAGGUGAGCUAAUCCCGCAUAACGUCCUAAUACAUACGUAUAAGGACCAAAGGGGGGGAUUCUUCGGAACCUCUCGCUUAAAGAUGAGCUUAUGUCCUAUUAGAUAGUUGGCGGGGUAACGGCCCACCAAGUCGAUGAUGGGUAGCCGAGCUGAGAGGCUGAUCGGCCACACUGGAACUGAGACACGGUCCAGACUCCUACGGGAGGCAGCAGUGGGGAAUUUUGCGCAAUGGGCGAAAGCCUGACGCAGCGACGCCGCGUGAGGGAUGAAGGUCUUCGUGAUCGUAAACCUCUGUCGGGAAGGAUUAAAUGUAUAGGUGUUAACACCACUUAUGCUUGACUUAACUUCCAGAGGAAGCCCCGGCUAACUACGUGCCAGCAGCCGCGGUAAUACGUAGGGGGCAAGCGUUACUCGGAUUCAUUGGGCGUAAAGCGAAUGUAGGCGGUUCAAUAAGUCAGAGGUGAAAUCCCAUGGCCUAACCAUGGAAUUGCCUUUGAUACUGCUGAACUAGAGGACAGGAGAGGAAAGUGGAAUUCCCGGUGUAGCGGUGGAAUGCGUAGAUAUCGGGAGGAACACCAGAGGCGAAGGCGGCUUUCUGGACUGAUCCUGACGCUGAGAUUCGAAAGCUAGGGGAGCAAACAGGAUUAGAUACCCUGGUAGUCCUAGCCGUAAACUAUGGAUACUGGAUCUUGCAUAUAUUUGCUUGGUCGAAGCUAACGCGUUAAGUAUCCCGCCUGGGGAGUACGGUCGCAAAGGCUGAAACUCAAAGGAAUUGACGG
rnacentral:rRNA from 1 species